CCUAGUGAUGAGGGACUGAGUCAGAAGAGAGGAAACCUAAUUUCCAGACUCUGCUCCAGUUGUUUAAGCAUCUUAUCUAAUAUCCCUUUCAUUUGUAUUCAAGCAGCUGAGAAGAGCUUUUGUUGAAUUUUGAGCAGCAAGGUCCAUGAGAUUUCCAAUCCUGAUAAGUAUGUGGUGCUUGAAAACAGCAGAAAGUAAACAAAACGCAUGGAUUUGAGAGCAUCACAUCAUUAAAGGAAGAAGAAAAUUUUUUAAAAACUUGAGAGACCCAUGUAUUUGUAUUGCCAGAUGAAGGCAAAGUGAUUGUGAUGGAUUUUCAAGGUUGCUUGGAAUUAUUCAACUGUUAACAUCCCUGCCUAUAUUUUGAAGGUGCACAACCUACUCACUCUUUUUAAUUUAAUGGAAGCCACUGAAACUCAAAAGGAUUGUUUUCAAUAUGAAACCUCAAGAAACUGAGGUUGGUGCUCUAUACAAAAUUUUAACUGUUAGAUAUUUUAAAGGGUGAC
rnacentral:lncRNA from 1 species